AGGGCACCACCAGGAGUGGAGCUUGCGGCUUAAUUUGACUCAACGCGGGGAAACUCACUUGGUCAGGACACUGUAAGGAUUGACAGAUUGAAAGCUCUUUCUUGAUUCGGUGGAUGGUGGUGCAUGGCCGUUCUUAGUUGGUGGAGUGAUUUGUCUGGUUAAUUCCGAUAACGAACGAGACUCUAUCUUGCUAACUAGUCGCAGAUUUAUUCUGACUGUUGAGCUUCUUAGAAGGACAGGUGGAUUUAACCAUACCGAGAUUGAGCAAUAACAGGUCUGUGAUGCCCCUUAGAUGUCCAACGGCUGCACGCGUGCUACCACUGAAGUCGUCAAACAUGUGAACCUAUCUCGGAGGAGUGUGGGGAACCCCUCUGAAACCGCUCCGUGCUAGGGAUUGGGGGUNUGUAAAUCCCCCUUUAACCAAAGAAAUUCCUUANUUAGUGCCAAGUUCAACCNUCUCCCCGCCUUAUUUACCUUCCCCUGCCCCUUNGGUUCAACACCGCCCCCGUUCGCCUUCUA
rnacentral:rRNA from 1 species